rnacentral:lncRNA from 1 species
GUGGGCGGCUGCGGAGAGCGGCCGGGGCGCGUGCACUGUGCUGGGCUGCUGGGCCCGGGAGGGGGGCGUGUCUGAGGGGCCCCAGAGAAAGGGAUGGGGGGGCCGGGACCCGCACCCGGACGCUUCUUCAGGGUCCGGUCACAACCUAGGAACAUGCGGCACGCACCCGGGAUCGGUGACCACUGCGGAAACCCACCCGCACCUGCCUCUCCCCCCUCCCCGCACGUCCUCUUGCUUCGUUUGAUACGUAAGUGACUAGAAACUAGCACCAACCCAAGUCUCCUCAGUAGUUUUUCCCGAAUGUGCCAGUGGAGAUGUUUCCCCAAAGAGAGAUUUCCCCAGGACUGCCAUCUAAUGAAUAAAUGCUGCUGCGGAGGUCAGGUCCUCAAAAGGAGGAAAUAGCCCAGCGAUGGCUGGAAAGAAGAGUUUGAAAUACAUGGACUUUUAAAAAUAGUGAAUGGACCACGUGUCGCCCUGAAUGUGGUGGGUUUCAUGACUCGGGCUAAUCGAUGUCAAUAAUAAAUUGAAAGAAGAAGAAGAAAAUGGCAAACAAGAGAGUCGUUGAUAUCUAGAUCGGAUAAAAGUGUCUUAUAAACAAUCACACUGUCUGAUAGAAGGGACCUGUUCUAUAGGAAAGAACGGUGGUGGUUGUUGUUGUUGUUGUUGUUUUAUUGGUUGUUCAAAACGGUUGUUGUUUUUUUAAAAAAAGUACUCUCGAAUUGUAAAAGAUUUCCGCAUCACACUAUAUAGCCCAUCAUUCAUAAAUCAUCUUUUAAAUUAAGAGCUAGAAAAUAGAUCAAAAGCUAUCAUUUUUCUUCUGUAUUUAUUUUCUAGAUCAGUUUUCCCCUUAAAAAAUUUUAGCUCAAUUCAGUGAGUCCCUU